UACGAGGGGUCCUAGCGUUGCUCGGAAUCAUUGGGCGUAAAGCGGGUGUAGGCGGACAACCAAGUCAGAUGUGAAAGCCCCAGGCUCAACCUGGGAAGUGCAUUUGAAACUGGUUAUCUUGAGUGCAGUAGAGGAAGGUGGAAUUCCAAGUGUAGUGGUGAAAUACGUAGAUAUUUGGAGGAACAUCGGUGGCGAAGGCGACCUUCUGGACUGUUACUGACGCUGAGACCCGAAAGCGUGGGGAUCAAACAGG
rnacentral:rRNA from 1 species